rnacentral:rRNA from 1 species
UGAGGAAUAUUGGACAAUGGGCGCAAGCCUGAUCCAGCCAUGCCGCGUGGGUGAUGAAGGCCUUAGGGUUGUAAAGCCCUUUCGGCGGGGAAGAUAAUGACGGUACCCGCAGAAGAAGCCCCGGCCAACUACGUGCCAGCAGCCGCGGUAAUACGUAGGGUGCAAGCGUUAAUCGGAAUUACUGGGCGUAAAGCGUGCGCAGGCGGUUUCGCAAGUCAGAUGUGAAAGCCCCGGGCUUAACCUGGGAACUGCGUUUGAAACUACGAAGCUAGAGUACGGCAGAGGGAGGUGGAAUUCCAAGUGUAGCAGUGAAAUGCGUAGAUAUUUGGAGGAACACCGAUGGCGAAGGCAGCCUCCUGGGCUAGUACUGACGCUCAUGCACGAAAGCGUGGGGAGCAAACAGGAUUAGAUACCCUGGUAGUCCACGCCCUAAACGAUGGGUACUAGACGUCGGGAAGCUUGUCUUCUUGGUGUCGCAGCUAACGCAAUAAGUACCCCGCCUGGGGAGUACGGUCGCAAGAUUA